rnacentral:tRNA from 1 species
GAGGGCAUAGCUCAGUGGUAGCGUGCAUGCUUAGUAUGCAGAUAGGCCCUGGGUUCAAUCCCCAGUACCUCCG